AUUGAACGCUGGCGGCAUGCAUUACACAUGCAAGUCGAACGGUAACAGGCCGCAAGGUGCUGACGAGUGGCGAACGGGUGAGUAAUGCAUCGGAACGUGCCCAGUCGUGGGGGAUAACUGCUCGAAAGAGCAGCUAAUACCGCAUACGAUCUAUGGAUGAAAGCGGGGGACCGUAAGGCCUCGUGCGAUUGGAGCGGCCGAUGUCAGAUUAGGUAGUUGGUGGGGUAAAGGCUCACCAAGCCAACGAUCUGUAGCUGGUCUGAGAGGACGACCAGCCACACUGGGACUGAGACACGGCCCAGACUCCUACGGGAGGCAGCAGUGGGGAAUUUUGGACAAUGGGGGCAACCCUGAUCCAGCAAUGCCGCGUGCAGGAAGAAGGCCUUCGGGUUGUAAACUGCUUUUGUACGGAACGAAACGGUCUGGGUUAAUACCCUGGGCUAAUGACGGUACCGUAAGAAUAAGCACCGGCUAACUACGUGCCAGCCGCCGCCGUAAUAC
rnacentral:rRNA from 1 species